rnacentral:rRNA from 1 species
UACGGAAGGCAGCAGUGGGGAAUAUUGCACAAUGGGCGCAAAGCCUGAUGCAGCCAUGCCGCGUGUAUGAAGAAGGCCUUCGGGUUGUAAAGUACUUUCAGUCGUGAGGAAGGUGUUAAGGUUAAUAACCUUAGCAAUUGACGUUAGCGACAGAAGAAGCACCGGCUAACUCCGUGCCAGCAGCCGCGGUAAUACGGAGGGUGCGAGCGUUAAUCGGAAUUACUGGGCGUAAAGGGCACGCAGGCGGUUAAUUAAGUUGGAUGUGAAAUCCCCGGGCUUAACCUGGGAAUGGCAUUCAAGACUGGUUAGCUAGAGUCUUGUAGAGGGGGUAGAAUUCCGAUGUGUAGCGGUGAAAUGCGUAGAGAUGUGGAGGAAUACCGGUGGCGAAGGCGGCCCCUGGACAAAGACUGACGCUCAUGUGCGAAAGCGUGGGGAGCAAA